AGCGAACGCUGGCGGCAGGCUUAACACAUGCAAGUCGAGCGGGCAUCUUCGGAUGUCAGCGGCAGACGGGUGAGUAACACGUGGGAACGUACCCUUCGGUUCGGAACAACUCUGGAAACUGGAGCUAAUACCGGAUACGCCCUUAUGGGGAAAGGUUUACUGCCGAAGGAUCGGCCCGCGUCUGAUUAGCUAGUUGGUGGGGUAACGGCCUACCAAGGCGACGAUCAGUAGCUGGUCUGAGAGGAUGAUCAGCCACACUGGGACUGAGACACGGCCCAGACUCCUACGGGAGGCAGCAGUGGGGAAUAUUGGACAAUGGGCGCAAGCCUGAUCCAGCCAUGCCGCGUGAGUGAUGAAGGCCUUAGGGUUGUAAAGCUCUUUUGUCCGGGACGAUAAUGACGGUACCGGAAGAAUAAGCCCCGGCUAACUUCGUG
rnacentral:rRNA from 1 species